CAGAGCUGGGCUAUGAUGAGGGAGGUUAGCCUACAGAGCUGGGCUAUGAUGAGGGAGGUUAGACUACAGAGCUGUGCUAUGAUGAGGGAGGUUAGACUACAGAGCUGUGCUAUGAUGAGGGAGGUUAGCCUACAGAGCUGUGCUAUGAUGAGGGAGGUUAGCCUACAGAGCUGGGCUAUGAUGAGGGAGGUUAGCCUACAGAGCUGGGCUAUGAUGAGGGAGGUUAGACUACAGAGCUGGGCUAUGAUGAGGGAGGUUAGCCUACAGAGCUGGGCUAUGAUGAGGGAGGUUAGCCUACAGAGCUGGGCUAUGAUGAGGGAGGUUAGCCUACAGAGCUGUGCUAUGAUGAGGGAGGUUAGCCUACAGAGCUGUGCUAUGAUGAGGGAGGUUAGCCUACAGAGCUGGGCUAUGAUGAGGGAGGUUAGCCUACAGAGCUGUGCUAUGAUGAGGGAGGUUAGCCUACAGAGCUGUGCUAUGAUGAGGGAGGUUAGCCUACAGAGCUGUGCUAUGAUGAGGGAGGUUAGCCUACAGAGCUGUGCUAUGAUGAGGGAG